CCUACGGGAGGCAGCAGUAGGGAAUCUUCCACAAUGGGCGAAAGCCUGAUGGAGCAACGCCGCGUGGGUGAAGAAGGUCCUCGGAUCGUAAAACCCUGUUGUUAGAGAAGAAAGUGCGUGAGAGUAACUGCUCACGUUUCGACGGUAUCUAACCAGAAAGCUACGGCUAACUACGUGCCAGCAGCCGCGGUAAUACGAAGGUGGCAAGCGUUAUCCGGAUUUUUUGGGCGUAAAGCGAACGCAGGCGGUCUUUUAAGUCUGAUGUGAAAGCCUUCGGCUUAACCGGAGUAGUGCAUUGGAAACUGGGAGACUUGAGUUCAGAAGAGGAGAGUGGAACUCCAUGUGUAGCGGUGAAAUGCGUAGAUAUAUGGAAGAACACCAGUGGCGAAAGCGGCUCUCUGGUCUGUAACUGACGCUGAGGUUCGAAAGCGUGGGUAGCAAACAGGAUUAGAUACCCGGUAGUC
rnacentral:rRNA from 1 species